AUGACGGCCUUCGGGUUGUAAACUCCUUUCGCUAGGGACGAAGCUUUUGUGACGGUACCUAGAUAAGAAGCACCGGCUAACUACGUGCCAGCAGCCGCGGUAAUACGUAGGGUGCGAGCGUUGUCCGGAAUUACUGGGCGUAAAGGGCUCGUAGGUGGUUUGUCGCGUCGUCUGUGAAAUUCCGGGGCUUAACUCCGGGCGUGCAGGCGAUACGGGCAUAACUUGAGUACUGUAGGGGUAACUGGAAUUCCUGGUGUAGCGGUGAAAUGCGCAGAUAUCAGGAGGAACACCGAUGGCGAAGGCAGGUUACUGGGCAGUUACUGACGCUGAGGAGCGAAAGCAUGGGUAGCGAACAGGAUUAGAUACCCUGGUAGUCCAUGCCGUAAACGGUGGGCGCUAGGUGUGAGGGUCUUUUCACGACUUUCGUGCCGUAGCUAACGCAUUAAGCGCCCCGCCUGGGGAGUACGGCCGCAAGGCUAAAACUCAAAUGAAUUGACGGA
rnacentral:rRNA from 1 species